rnacentral:rRNA from 1 species
AUUGAACGCUGGCGGCAGGCUUAACACAUGCAAGUCGAGCGGGGUGAUGGUGCUUGCACUAUCACUUAGCGGCGGACGGGUGAGUAAUGCUUAGGAAUCUGCCUAUUAGUGGGGGACAACAUCUCGAAAGGGAUGCUAAUACCGUAUACGUCCUACGGGAGAAAGCAGGGGAUCACUAGUGACCUUGCGCUAAUAGAUGAGCCUAAUUCGGAUUAGCUAGUUGGUGGGGGAAAGGCCUACCAAGGCGACGAUCUGUAGCGGGUCUGAGAGGAUGAUCCGCCACACUGGGACUGAGACCCGGCCCAGACUCCUACGGGAGGCAGCAGUGGGGAAUAUUGGACAAUGGGGGGAACCCUGAUCCAGCCAUGCCGCGUGUGUGAAGAAGGCCUUAUGGUUGUAAAGCACUUUAAGCGAGGAGGAGGCUCUUUUGGUUAAUACCCAAGAUGAGUGGACGUUACUCGCAGAAUAAGCACCGGCUAACUCUGUGCCAGCCGCCGCGGUAA